CCUACGGGAGGCAGCAGUGAGGAAUAUUGGUCAAUGGGCGCAAGUCUGAACCAGCCAAGUAGCGUGAAGGAUGACUGCCCUACGGGUUGUAAACUUCUUUUGUAAAGGAGUAAACUGAGGUACGUGUGCCUUUUUGUAUGUACUUUAUGAAUAAGGAUCGGCUAACUCCGUGCCAGCAGCCGCGGUAAUACGGAGGAUACGAGCGUUAUCCGGAUUUAUUGGGUUUAAAGGGUGCGUAGACGGUCGGAUAAGUUAGAUGUGAAAUCUCGAGGCUCAACGUCGGAAUUGCCGCUGAUACUGUGCGGCUAGAGAGUAGUUGCGGGAGGCGGAAUGUAUGGUGUAGCGGUGAAAUGCUUAGAGAUCAGACAGAACACCGAUUGCGAAGGCAGCGUACCAAGCUACUUCUGACGUUGAGGCACGAAAGCGUGGGGAGCAAAAAGGAUUAGAUACCCCAGUAGUC
rnacentral:rRNA from 1 species